CCGCGUCCUGUCAUCGGUUCCUCACACUCCUGUCGUGGGCCGGACAAGGACGCCCCACAAAUUCGGAGGAUUUCUUCUGGGUGUCUACAUGCGCUGUGACUGCGGAAGUGACACGCAUGAAAUAUGAGGCCAGUUCUUGAUCUUGGCGACCGGAUGAACACUGAAUACUAGAACUACUUGAAUGCAGCGAUCAUGUAAAUUAGAGAAAGGAGAUAAGAAUAACCUGAAUAUUCUUCUCAUGUGACGUUUAUUCUGGAUGAAGCAUUAAGACCGUUAAUAGAGAU